UUAAAAGGUGGGGUUUAGGAUUUAGGGUUUAGGGUUUAGGGUUUAGGGUUUAGAGUUUAGAGUUUAGAGUUUAGAGUUUAGGGUUUAUGGUUUAGGGUUUAGAGUUUAGGGUUUAGAGUUUAGGGUUUAGGGUUUAGAGUUGAGAAAUGAGUUUUAGGGAUAAGAUUUCAAAUUUUGAAAAAUAAAAAAAAUAAAAUUUUCAAAGGAUA
rnacentral:lncRNA from 1 species